GAUGAAGAACGUAGCGAAAUGCGAUACGUAAUGUGAAUUGCAGAAUUCAGUGAAUCAUCGAAUCUUUGAACGCACAUUGCACUCUCUGGUAUUCCGGAGAGUAUGCUUGUUUGAGUAUCAGUAAACACCUCAAAUCUCUUGUUUCUUGUGAAUAAGAGAAUUGGACUUGAGCAAUCCCAACUCUUGCAAAAGAGGCGGGUUGCUUGAAAUGCAGGUGCAGCUGGACAUUCUUCUGAGCUAAAAGCAUAUUUAUUUAGUCCCGUAAAACGGAUUAUUACUUUUGCUGCAGCUAACAUAAAGGUUGAAUGGCCAAUAUGGCUGACUGAUGCAGGAUUAACAGAGAAUUUAUUCUUUGUAAACUCGAUCUCAAAUCAAGUAAGACUACCCGCUGAACUUAAGCAUAUAAUAAGCGGAGA
rnacentral:misc_RNA from 1 species